rnacentral:rRNA from 1 species
UGCCAGCCGCCGCGGUAAUACGGAGUGUGCAAGCGUUACUCGGAAUCACUGGGCAUAAAGAGCACGUAGGCGGGCGGGCAGGUCGGUUGUGAAAUCCCUCGGCUCAACCGGGGAACUGCAACCGAAACUGCUUGUCUUGAGGGCGAGAGGGGUGAGCGGAACUUCUGGUGGAGCGGUGAAAUGCGUAGAUAUCAGAAGGAACGCCGGUGGUGAAAACGGCUCACUGGCUCGUUUCUGACGCUGAGGUGCGAAAGCUAGGGUAGCGAACGGGAUUAGAUG